rnacentral:rRNA from 1 species
CCCUUAGAUGCUCUGGGCCGCACGCGCGCUACACUGACGAAUGCAACGAGCUUAUAACCUUGGCCGAUAGGUCUGGGUAAUCUUUGAACGCUGUUCGUGAUUGGGAUAGACCUUUGCAAUUAUGGGUCUUCAACGAGGAAUUCCUAGUAAACGCAAGUCAUCAGCUUGCAUUGAUUACGUCCCUGCCCUUUGUACACACCGCCCGUCGCACCUACCGAUUGAAUGGUCCGGUGAAAUCUCGGGACGGCGGCUUGGUCGCUUGCGUCCGACUGCUGAAACUUGAUUAAACCAUAUCAUUUAGAGGAAGGUGAAGUCGUAACA